GUUAAUUUCAGCUAGCAAACAAGCUCAGCCAGGUCCUGUAUCUCAUCCACCCCAUCAGUAAUAUCUCACAUCAUUCCAGCAAUCUCAAGAAUUACUCCAACUGAGUCACAUUCUGGAAAUGUGUUUGGACUAUUCAGCGUGGCUCUCAUGAUGACCUUAGUGUUCUCAUAAUUAGAGAUACUGAAGACCUUACCUUCUCUGCCAUGUGAGGACACAGGAUGAAGGUGUCACCUGCAAGCCAGGAAGAAAGUCCUCAUGAAGACCUGACCAUAUGGCAUUCUGAUGUUGGGCUUCUGGCCUCCAAAAUCAUGAUAAAUAAAUUUCUGCUGUCUACAAAA